rnacentral:lncRNA from 1 species
AUCUGUUGUCCCCACACUGGAUCGGUUGUUCCCAAGCCCCCAUUUCUGAGCCUCCUUCUUCGAUGCUGCUGGCAGCCUUUCGAAGUUGACAUCCCGCCACCCCGACCUCCCCCUUCUUCUUGACCUCACCUCUUCUUUCCCCACCAUCAUGCCUCACCGGAUCAGCCUUCCCCUCGCCAGAUCGGUCGUGGCCCGCCUCCCCCUUCUUCCCCAGCCACACCACCGAUGCGUCGCAUGCAUCAUCGGAUCUAUGCCCCAGUC